GACGAACGCUGGCGGCGUGCUUAACACAUGCAAGUCGAACGGUAAGGUCCUUCGGGGUACACGAGUGGCGAACGGGUGAGUAACACGUGGGUGAUCUGCCCUGCACUUCGGGAUAAGCCUGGGAAACUGGGUCUAAUACCGGAUAGGACUCCGGACUGCAUGGUCUGGGGUGGAAAGCUUUUGCGGUGUGGGAUGGGCCCGCGGCCUAUCAGCUUGUUGGUGGGGUGAUGGCCUACCAAGGCGACGACGGGUAGCCAGCCUGAGAGGGUGACCGGCCACACUGGGACUGGGAUACGGCCCAGACUCCUACGGGAGGCAGCAGUGGGGAAUAUUGCACAAUGGGCGCAAGCCUGAUGCAGCGGCGCCGCGUGAGGGAUGACGGCCUUCGGGUUGUAAACCUCUUUCAGCAUCGACGAAGCGAAAGUGACGGUAGGUGCAGAAGAAGGACCGGCCAACUACGUGCCAGCCGCCGCAGUAA
rnacentral:rRNA from 1 species